rnacentral:rRNA from 1 species
AUUGAACGCUGGCGGCAUGCUUUACACAUGCCAGUCGAACGGCAGCACAGGGCGCUCGCUCUUGGGUGGUGAGUGGCGGACGGGUGAGUCAUGUAUCGGAACGUGUCUGGUCGUGGGGGAUAACUACUCGAAAGAGUGGCUAAUACCGCAUGAGGCCUUCGGCUGAAAGCGGGGGAGCUACGGUCCUCGUGCUUCGAGAGAGGCCCAUCUCAGAUUAGUUUGUUGGUGGGGUAAAGGCCUACCAAGCCCGCGAUCUGUAGCUGGUCUGAGAGGACGACAAGCCACACUGGGAGGUGGACAGGGCCCAGACUCCUAAGGGAGGCAGCAGUGGGGAAUGUUGGACAAUGGGCGCAAGCAUGAUCCAGCAAUCCCGCGUGCAGGACGAAGGCGUUCGGGUUGGAAACUGCUUUUGUGGGGAACGAAAAGACUCUGGCUAAGAACUAGAGAUCAUGACGGUACUGGAAGAAUAAGCACCGGCUAACUACGUG